rnacentral:rRNA from 1 species
CCCUUAGAUGUUCUGGGCCGCACGCGCGCUACACUGACGAAUGCAACGAGCUUAUAACCUUGGCCGAAAGGUCUGGGUAAUCUCCAAAUUUCGUCGUGAUGGGGAUAGAUUAUUGCAAUUAUUAAUCUUCAACGAGGAAUGCCUAGUAAGCGCAAGUCAUCAGCUUGCGUUGAUUACGUCCCUGCCCUUUGUACACACCGCCCGUCGCUCCUACCGAUUGAAUGGUCCGGUGAAGCGCUCGGACCGCGGCCUCUUGACGGCUUUCCGUCGAUUGGCUGUGGGAAGUUCGUUAAACCUUAUCAUUUAGAGGAAGGAGAAGUCGUAACA